rnacentral:rRNA from 1 species
AGCGAACGCUGGCGGCAGGCCUAACACAUGCAAGUCGAACGAACCUUUCGGGGUUAGUGGCGGACGGGUGAGUAGCACGUGGGAACGUGCCUUUAGGUUCGGAAUAACUCAGGGAAACUUGUGCUAAUACCGAAUGUGCCCUUCGGGGGAAAGAUUUAUCGCCUUUAGAGCGGCCCGCGUCUGAUUAGCUAGUUGGUUGAGGUAAUGGCUCACCAAGGCGACGAUCAGUAGCUGGUCUGAGAGGAUGAUCAGCCACAUUGGGACUGAGACACGGCCCAAACUCCUACGGGAGGCAGCAGUGGGGAAUCUUGCGCAAUGGGCGAAAGCCUGACGCAGCCAUGCCGCGUGAAUGAUGAAGGUCUUAGGAUUGUAAAAUUCUUUCACCGGGGACGAUAAUGACGGUACCCGGAGAAGAAGCCCCGGCUAACUUCGUG